UUUAAUUCAAAAACCUGAUUUCUCGUUCUGAAUUGCUCCGCACCCCUUGCUCGUCUCCGUUCUCGAAUCAUGUCUCCAUUCACAGAUAUCCAAGAAGCACUCACAGAUCUUGUAUUCGAACGUUCACCAAUUUAUCAAUAGAAACUAAGGAACUGCCCAGAGAUUUGGAAGGCAACCACCUCGAAGGCUUGAGUUUGUUCAUUGAGUUGGUGGCAUGAACACUAAGGGGUGAUUGUAUAGAGCUGGAGACCUUGCUUGUGAUUUUAAAGAUACACAUAGUAGUCACCU